rnacentral:rRNA from 1 species
UGGGGAAUAUUGCACAAUGGACGGAAGUCUGAUGCAGCAACGCCGCGUGCGGGAUGACGGCCUUCGGGUUGUAAACCGCUUUUUCUCAUGACGAAGUUUUUUGACGGUAGUGGGGGAAGAAGCACCGGCUAACUACGUGCCAGCAGCCGCGGUGAUACGUAGGGUGCGAGCGUUGUCCGGAAUUAUUGGGCGUAAAGAGCUUGUAGGCGGUUUGUCGCGUCGAUAGUGCAAACUCAGUGCUUAACGCUGAGCCUGCUGUUGAUACGGGCAGACUAGAGGAAGGUAGGGGAGAAUGGAAUUCCCGGUGGAGCGGUGGAAUGCGCAGAUAUCGGGAGGAACACCGGUGGCGAAGGCGGUUCUCUGGGCCUUUCCUGACGCUGAGAAGCGAAAGCGUGGGUAGCAAACAGG